rnacentral:rRNA from 1 species
AUACGUAGGUGACAAGCGUUAUCCGGAUUUACUGGGCGUAAAGGGCGUGUAGGCGGUCUUGCAAGUCAGAAGUGAAAUUCCUGAGCUCAACUCGGGCGCUGCUUCUGAAACUGCAGGACUUGAGUGCUGGAGGGGAUAGCGGAAUUCCUAGUGGAGCGGUAAAAUGCGCAGAUAUUAGGAAGAACACCGGUGGCGAAGGCGGCUAUCUGGACAGUAACUGACGCUGAGGCGCGAAAGCGUGGGGAGCAAACAGGAUUAGAUACCCUGGUAGUCCACGCGGUAAACGAUGAAUGCUAGGUGUUGCGGGUAUCGACCCCUGCAGUGCCGGAGUCAACACAAUAAGCAUUCCGCCUGGGGAGUACGGCCGCAAGGUUGAAACUCAAAUGAAUUGACGGGG